rnacentral:tRNA from 1 species
GUCACUAUGGUGUAAGUGGUAAGCACGCUGGCCGGGGAAGGCCGGAGGUUCAAGGUUCGAGUCCUUGAUGGUGGCGA